UUUCGCAAUGCCCGAAAGGGUGACGAAGCGACGCCGCGUGGGUGAGGAAGGCCCUCGGGUUGUAAAGCCCUGUCAGGAGUUAAGAAAUGUAAGUGCGCUAAUAUCGCAUUUAUUUGACGAAGGCUCCAAAGGAAGCCACGGCUAACUCUGUGCCAGCAGCCGCGGUAAUACAGAGGUGGCAAGCGUUGUUCGGAAUUAUUGGGCGUAAAGAGCACGUAGGUGGAUUUGUAAGUCAGAUGUGAAAGCCUUCUGUUCAACGGGAGAAUUGCAUCUGAAACUACAGACCUUGAGUAUAGGAGGGGAGAAUGGAACUUCUGGUGGAGCGGUGAAAUGCGUAGAUAUCAGAAGGAACGCCGGCGGCGAAAGCGAUUCUCUGGCCUAUUACUGACACUGAGUGUGCGAAAGCUAGGGGAGCAAACGGGAUUAGAUACCCCGGUAGUCCUAGCCGUAAACGAUGGGCACUAAGUAGAGGGGUUUUA
rnacentral:rRNA from 1 species